UGUUUUUCACAAAUUACUAAUACUUAGGGUUUUAGGAGACUAGCUCUCAAUUUCUUUAAGGUUUUAGGAAACCAGUUCUCUAUUUCUUUCUCCAAAGAAAGCUGGAGUUUACCCAAGUAAUUCAUUUAAGCCUAAAAUCGGAUGAAAUACAGCAAAUAUGUGGGGGAAAAACAAGAGAGCCAAUGCGGAUGAAUACAGAGAAUGUAUGAACAUUCUCACAAAAAUUAGGUUUAUGAUGAGGUCAAAAAUCUUGUGACAGAGUUGACAGCUCUGGUAACUUAUAUUCAAUUCAUUCAUGAAUAGUAGUUAUAAUUUUCCUAUGAUAGCUGGUGAAUGGCAGAUUUAGAGAUCGAAUUUGAUAAAUACAGCCUAGAAUAUUUAUUCCCUGAGGUAAGUAAGUUACUUAAAGUAAAUUAAAUUCAAC